rnacentral:rRNA from 1 species
AUACGGAGGGUCCAAGCGUUAUGCGGAAUCAUUGGGUUUAAAGGGUCCGCAGGCGGUCAAUUAAGUCAGAGGUGAAAGCCCAUCGCUCAACGAUGGAACUGCCUUUGAUACUGGUUGACUUGAGUUAUACGGAAGUAGAUAGAAUAAGUAGUGUAGCGGUGAAAUGCAUAGAUAUUACUUAGAAUACCGAUUGCGAAGGCAGUCUACUACGUAUAUACUGACGCUGAGGGACGAAAGCGUGGGGAGCGAACAGGAUUAGAUACCCUAGUAGUCC